AGUGAACGCUGGCGGUAGGCCUAACACAUGCAAGUCGAACGGCAGCACAGUAAGAGCUUGCUCUUACGGGUGGCGAGUGGCGGACGGGUGAGGAAUACAUCGGAAUCUACUUUUUCGUGGGGGAUAACGUAGGGAAACUUACGCUAAUACCGCAUACGACCUACGGGUGAAAGCAGGGGAUCUUCGGACCUUGCGCGAUUGAAUGAGCCGAUGUCGGAUUAGCUAGUUGGCGGGGUAAAGGCCCACCAAGGCGACGAUCCGUAGCUGGUCUGAGAGGAUGAUCAGCCACACUGGAACUGAGACACGGUCCAGACUCCUACGGGAGGCAGCAGUGGGGAAUAUUGGACAAUGGGCGCAAGCCUGAUCCAGCCAUACCGCGUGGGUGAAGAAGGCCUUCGGGUUGUAAAGCCCUUUUGCUGGGAAAGAAAAGCAGCAGGUUAAUACCCCGCUGUUCUGACGGUACCCAAAGAAUAAGCACCGGCCAACUUCGUG
rnacentral:rRNA from 1 species